rnacentral:rRNA from 1 species
CACCGCGGUUAUACGAGAGGCCCCAGUUGACGGGUGCGGCGUAAAGAGUGGUUAAGGAAGAAUCCGACUAAAGUCGAAGACCCCCUAGGCCGUCAUACGCUCCUGAGGGUACGAAGCCCCAUCACGAAAGUAGCUUUACUAAAGCCCACCUGACCCCACGAUAGCUGAGACA